rnacentral:tRNA from 1 species
GAGGAUAUAGCUCAACGGCAGAGCACUUGUCUACCAUGUGUGCAGCCCUGGGUUCAAGUCCCAGCACCUCCC